rnacentral:lncRNA from 1 species
UGUCCGGACUAUCGGAGAUUUACAGUGGAGCACCAUCUCCCCAAACAUUGCUACUACCUCCGUCUGAGAAGAGGCAGGCAGUGAGAACAAGCCGAGCUGAGCCUCUGGCGGUGAGGACCUGGCUAAAUCCAAGCCAGGAGCACUGUGGGCCAAGGCUGGACAGCCCUCACCUAUGGACUCUUGUCACUUCCAGAGGUGCAGAACGCUGAUGAGAUACCCCUUGGACUCCUUCCAGAAGAGUCUCCCAUUGAGGCAAUUAGGUGAGAGCUGACGACAAUUUAGCGAGCACGCAGCGAUGCCAAGGGUCUCCCGGAUCAAGAGGAUGUCUAAAAGAGUGCGGUGUUUUAGUGAUGUGUCAGCGCACAAUGAGGAAAAUGUACUUUGCAGCAUCCACUCCAUUUCCUGGUUCCUACGACGGGUUUGGCAGGAACCACAUCAUGGACAAACAAAUCAUGGUCCUAGUUUUGCCCUUCAAAAGAUACACAAAGAAAAUUGAAUCCCUUCGCCCAUGUCAGUGCUCCACUUAUUUUAGGACAAUUUCCAGGUUGUCUCUAGGACUUUCCCUUUCUGUGCUAUGAAAUGAGGCCUGAGGACACGUGCCGAGUGCCUACGGGCUGCUUGAGACGGGAGAUACCUUUUGUCCAUUCAUUCUUCAUCUCAUGCUGACUGAAGCCUUAAUGCCACUCACUCCACACAAUGGCGCCUGCCUGGAGAACUGGGUGAGAGGGUCGUUCAUCUUCGUAGUCUCACCCCGUAGCAGGAGGGACUGGCAGAGCCUCCUAGAUGCCACCCCUCCCAGGCAAAGCUUCAGCCUGCACCCCUGGACCAGGGCUAAUAACAUCAGCCACUGGCCACUUGACAUGUUGCUGAGAGAUUUCCCAAACACACAUUCCCAUCUUAGCAAAUUAACUCCAAGAACACAGUGAGGAAGAAGAUAAGUUAAAGGAGAGAUGUCUAAAUGAGAAACUAAACUCGGUCUUCCUGAGACAGCCAGUGCCGACGGCUUGCGCUGGGUGGAAAGGUGAGAUUUCAUCACUGCUUCUCCCCAGGGCUGGCAGGGGCAGAUCAAGUUGCCUCUCACUCCGGCCCCACCCUGAGGAAUGGACUCAUGGACACUGCAGGGCUUUCUCUCCUCUGAUAUCUUUGAGUCAAGGCGCCGUGUUGACCAAGUGGGUCAGAUAAAGGACUACAAAGCCAUUGUCCGAAUUGCCCAGGGAGGAUGUGGCCAACAUUCCUAGGUGUGUUUGGAAAUAUGGCUGAGACAGUAGGUGCCAAGUGAGAGACGCUGGCAAAGUAAGCCUACAUUUGGAGACCAGUGGUUCCCUGCUGUCACAGGGGACUUCGGAAUAAAUCCCUUCCAACCCACUAGCACACACGCUGCCACACACGACCAUAGAUGGUGAAUCCUGCACUCCCAACUCUCUCCCGGUGGCUUCUACAACAGGAUGUUGUUUAUUACAAUAGAAUUAAUCUGCUUUUCCAGAAUUUAGUAAUCCAUCAAUUGACAAACUUCCCUGAUACAUACUUUUAAGAUUCUAGAAAAAUUCAACUCAUUAUUAUACAUUAUUCACUUCCCAAAUCAGUGAAAACUGCAUGUGAUAUGUUAUAACCAUAAAAUUAUUACAUCAAGCACUUAUGGACAAAAGUUAAGUCACAAAAUAGGUGGAAAGAAGAAAACAAUUAUAUUAGAAGACUUAACCUAAGGAAGUAUGAAAUUUAGCUCUGAGCUUCUGCAGUAAAAUAGAAAAGAGGCAGGCGGAUCACUUGAGGUCAGGAGUUCGAGACCAGCCUGGGCAACAUGGUGAAACUCUGUUUCUACUAAAAACACAAAAAUUAGCAGGACGUACUGUUGCAUGCUUGUAAUCCCAGCUAGUUGGGAGGCUGAGACGUGAGAAUCCCUUGAACCCAGGAGGCAGAGGUUGCAGUGAGCGGAGAUCUUGCCACUGCACUCCAGCCUGGGCAACAGAGUGAGACUCUGUCUCAAAAUAAUAAUAAUAAAUAAAUAAAUAAAAUAUAAAAGGGAAUAAAAGCGACAUAUGUGCCAUUAUUUAAUGCAAGAGAGCAUACAAAUUCAUCUGGAGAAGUUGCCUUGAUACAUUUCAAGUAAG